AUCUCUGUUCUUCUCUUUGAUUUACUCCACCACCUCUUUCUACCUUCCGAUACCUUCUACAUCUAAUUCCUUCCACAACUUCCAUUUUCAUCUCCCAAAUUGAUUCGUCGUUUCCACUUUGUGUUCAGUGAAUGAAGUACCGAUGUUCCAUUUUCCAAGUUGAUUUCUUCUGCUUCAUCUCCAGUCUUUCUUCAUUUCUUUUUUUCUCCAUCUUCUGUGUUCGAUUAUUCUGUUGCCCUAUGACAUUGACAAUAGUUUCUUUUCCAUUUCUUCCUACGACUAUGGGAAGUCAUCUGCUUCACCAACAAAUCGACACCCAAAACAAUCCCGAUAACCCUCUGAAUUUCUCAAUAUGAUUUAAUUUUCGGGUAUUUGUUUUUGAAUCCCAGUUAUUUAUCUUUCUUGAUUCUAUAAACCAUAUAGGUGUGUAAAAUUAUAAACAACACGAUGAUUGCUUGAUUCCAAAAAUUGGGAUUUCUGGCUCAUGACUUCCGACUGUGGGCUUCUCAUCUUUAUCCAUGGAUUUUUGGUUCUCUAACUUGAGUGGGGCGUACUGCAGUCGUUGAUGAUGCCAAAGGUAAUUAAUCAAUUUUUUUUGCACUUUUUAUUCACGUAUUUUACAUGGAUUUGAUCUUUUACAUGGAUUAUCAAUUUGUUGCUCUUGCUUCUAUGUUUUAUUAAUCUUGUAUCUUUUUAUAGUUGCUCUACAUAUUCAAUUCAGGCUCUUUAUUUUUGUAUUCCAUUUCAUGACCAGCCUAAAAAUCCAACAAGAUUUAGAUAUAAUAAUGAGUUGUUUACUGAUAUGGAUGAAGUUCUGGCCGCUACCCACUAGGUAUUCGAUGAAAUGCCUAAGUCUCUUUUUCUGUGUUGUUAUCAUCGCUUUACCUGUGUUUUAUAUUAUUUUAUUGGAUAGAUUCAUUAGUGUUUUAAAUAUUUUUUUAUCUCAAAAAAAUAGUUUUUCAUUCUGUUAUAGUUAAUGUAGUUUUGGUUAUGUUAGUAGUGAUUGAAAUCAUGAUAGCUUAUGGAAAAUGUCUGUAGUUGAACUCACGAAAUUCAGAAGCGCUGUAUGAACCUUCAUGAAAAGGUAUUAAUUUUUGUAGCAUUAGUUUUUAUAUGAUUUUGGAGUUUUACCAUAUCAUUUUAUCAAUUCAUUUAUUAUUUUUCUAUUUUUGUGAAAAUUCAAGAAAAUGGCAGCCUUACACCUGCUUCCACUCUUUUACUUGGUUAUGAGCUGUAAGAGUUCAGUAGUUAAUUCAUCUUUUGUUAAAUAAGUACUCUGAAAAAGACAUCUCUACCCCUCUUUAAGAUUUCCUUGUACUUUUGAUAUUAUGUUUAUAAUGUCUUCAAAUUUAUUUUCGUUGUGUAGGUUGCAAUGUGGAACCAACCAUAUUGACUAUAUUUUGAAUGCCAUAAAUAUUUUUUUCAACAUACUUUUUUUUACUAUAUUUUGUAUCCACUAAACUACAUUUUGGACUAUAGUUGAUAACUAUCACAUUUUCUGCAGACAUUGGAUACUUGAUUGAAGAUUGAAAAGAACAUUUCAGGUUUCCACUUGCUUCUUCAUAUCUCUCAUUAUAUUUCACAAUAAUUAAUUCUAUAACAUAGUUACAUAAUCCAGUAUGUAAAAAGUAACAUGACCAAUGGCAUAUUUUGUUUUCAUCAUAGGUUUCUGGUUGCUGGAUCUUGCUAAUUAACACCAUUCAUGUAACAAUUUUUUAGUAUUUUCAUGUCUCUUCCACUCUUUUGUUCAUAGUAAAAUAAAUGUGCAUAACAGAUCUUUUUGACGUAUUUGUAGGAAGUGGAAGUGGAUAUGAUAAUCAAUAUUGUACGCCUACAAUCCGGACUAUAAUUUGCUUAUAAAAUUAAGGUAUGAUUCCUUUCUAUUUUUACUUUCAUUUAAUUCGAUGUCAUUUGUUUUUUAAGUGAUUUUAGGUCAUAGGCAAUGUUGUUUCAUUUGUUGUGUCUACCAAAGUACUGUUAUUUUCAAAAUAAAUAAAUAAAUAAAUAAAUAAACAACCCAUACCAUAACCUUAUAAAAAUUUGGAAUUAUUAUUGUUUUAUUCCAUAUGAUUCUGUUAUUAAAAAAAAUAAUUGUGUUUUUUUGGUGUUUAUCAACCACAUUGAUCUUGGAAACGCAAACUUCUCUAUUCAGUUGGUUUACAUCUUGGUCAACUUUCAAACCUACAUUACUUGGAAGUCAUUUAUUUUUGGUUACUAUGUUUUCUUUUUGAUGUAUUAUAGGUCAUAAAUUCAGAAAUAGCAACUACCUUUCAUUGAUUUUAUACUUCAUUUGGAAUUAUAAUUUUUGCUUAAUUUUAUACUUCAUUUGUACUCGGUUUCAAUAAUCUUUUUUGAUUUCUUUGAUUCUUUUUCAAUAAUAUGAUGUUUUAUGGUAUGUGGCGAAGUGCUUAUAUGUUCUUACUUCCCAUAAUAGCAACUUACUUCUAUUUUGUUACCAAUAAUAGCAAUAUGUAAAACGAAAUUUGUAAGAAUUUUACAAGUUUCAUGUUAUAUUUCUGUUAACGAUAAAAACAUGAAGUAUGUUGUUAUUUUUAAUUAUGCUUUCAUAUAAUCAUUUACUCAUUAGUAAUAUUAGACAAUGGAUAUAAUGACAUUCAGAUUAAAAUUUAUGUGGUUUGUUUUCGGGCUCCACAAUUGUUUGAUCUGCUACACAAUAUUUGGUAAGCUACCAAAAUGAAAAUAAUAUUUUCUUUUUUAAUUUUUGUUUUUUACUCUUUUAUGUUUUCUUUUGGGCCUAGUUUUGGAGGUAAUAUGUUUGAUUAAAGGGGCAACAACCCAUUAGGAGGGUUUUGAGUUUUUGAUGGCUAAUUUUGGGGAUUGGUGAUACUAGUCCAGGAGUGUGUUUCUGAGUUUAUCAACUUUAAAUUCCUUCCAUUCCACUUCUAUGAAUGGUAAAAUCCCUCAAACUUAGGAAUUGAAUGAAUUUUACAAAUUGAAUUCCGUCCAUCUGGCAAGUAAAAUGCAUUGGAACAGAAUCGAAAUUCCAAUUCUGUAGUUCUAUAAACUUUUUUGCACAACCUAAAUGAAUAUGACACUUUUUUUUUUCAGUCAAGUAACGACAGAAUGCUAAUCCUGCAUGUCAUAUAAUUAUUUGUAGGGGUUUAUAAUGUGAAAAGGUUUAAGUAACGAAAAAAGUAUGUUUUUUUGCUUUUAUGAAAAAAUUGUCCCUUC
rnacentral:lncRNA from 1 species